CCUGAUAUUGAAAUUCGGCACAGCUUGUACAGGAUAGGUAGGAGCCUUUGAAACGUGAGCGCUAGCUUACGUGGAGGCGCUGGUGGGAUACUACCCUAGCUGUGUUGGCUUUCUAACCCGCACCACUUAUCGUGGUGGGAGACAGUGUCAGGCGGGCAGUUUGACUGGGGCGGUCGCCUCCUAAAAGGUAACGGAGGGGCUCAAAGGUUCCCUCAGAAUGGGUGGAAAUCAUUCAUAGAGUGUAAAGGCAUAAGGGAGCUUGACUGCGAGACCUACAAGUCGAGCAGGGUCGAAAGACGGACUUAGUGAUCCGGUGGUUCCGCAUGGAAGGGCCAUCGCUCAACGGAUAAAAGCUACCCCGGGGAUAACAGGCUUAUCUCCCCCAAGAGUUCACAUCGACGGGGAGGUUUGGCACCUCGAUGUCGGCUCAUCGCAUCCUAGGGCUGUCUCUUUUACA
rnacentral:rRNA from 1 species